GCAGUAGCGAUUCAGUGGUAGAACUCUCAACUUCCAUUUGGGAGACCCAGGUUCAAUUCUUGGCCACUGCA
rnacentral:tRNA from 1 species